UGCAUCUGCCGGGAAUCGAACCCGGAUUGCCCGCAUGGUAGGCGAGCAUUCUACCACUGAACCACCGAUGC
rnacentral:tRNA from 1 species